GACAGAGGUGCCAAGCGUUAGGCGGAAUCAUUGGGCGUAAAGCGCGCGUAGGUGGCUUCGUAAGUCCGUUGUGAAAGUCAAAGGCUCAACCUUUGAAUGCCGAUGGAUACUGCGAAGCUAGAGUACGGAAGAGGCGAGUGGAAUUCCUGGUGUAGCGGUGGAAUGCGCAGAUAUCAGGAGGAACACCAAUAGCGAAGGCAGCUCGCUGGGACGUUACUGACGCUGAGGCGCGAAAGCGUGGGGAGCGAACAGG
rnacentral:rRNA from 1 species